rnacentral:lncRNA from 10 species
UUCUUCUGCCUCAGCCUCCUGACUAGCUGGGAUUACAGGGGUGCACCACCACGCCCGGCUAAUUUUUUGUAUCUUAGUAGAGAUGGGGUUUCACCAUGUUGGCCAGGCUGGUCUCAAACUCCUAACCUCAUGUGAUCCACUCACCUCGGCCUCCCAAAGUGCUGGGAUUACAGACGUGAGCCAUCACACCCAGCUGAGAUUCUUAUCUUGGUAAUUUUUUGCACAGAGAACUCAGCUCUCUAUCAUACUACAUUUUAAUGAGCUACACGGUGAUUUAUGACUUGUGCUCUUUCCUUUUCUAAUCAGCUCAUCAACACCAUACCCAUUCUAUGUCAGUUUACUUUAGAAUUGAAAUUUUGCCUUUUAUAUAAUGCUGUUAGGUGGCUUGCAUUCGAUUUGGGGGAUAAAUAGAUUUUGAAUCAGCUUUUGCUGCUCAACAAACCACUCCAAAACUUGGUGGCUUAAAACAACAGGCAUUUAUUUAGUUCACCAUUUUGUGGUUUGGCAAUUUAAGCUGGGCUCAGCUAUGUGAUGGUUCUCUUCUCCUCUGAGCUCACUCAUGAACAUCCCGUCAGAUGGAUAGUCUCACUCACAUACAUGACGGUUGGCAAGGGCUACAGGGAUGCCUGGGCUUUGUGAGUCUCAUCAUCCAGCAGGUUAGCCUGGGCUUCUCCACAUGGUGGCUUGUGGGGUUCUCUAAAGCCUGGGGUUCUCCACUUGGUGGCUUCUGGGGUUCUCUAAAGCAGUAAGAGAGGGCAAAUGCAAAUGCUUAACAACUUUUGAAAUCUCUGCAUCAUGUUUGCUAUUGUCCCAUUGGCCAAAGUGAGUUACAAGUCCAGCUAAAAUUCCAAGGAUGGAGAAAGACUACCUCUUUGUGGGAGGAGCUAUAAAAUUAUACUGCAGUGGCAUGAACACAAGGAGGGAAAGAAUUUGUGGCCAUUUCUGCAAUCUGCCAUAAAUGUACUUGGGACUUCUCACCUUGGUUCAAUGGAUACUGUCUUUAUUUUGAAAUAUGUCUAGAAUCCAACCACUUCUCACUAUCUUCUCUGCCUCCUUUGCUACUUCCUAGUCCAAACCACUAUCAUCUUUUGCCUCCCAACAGGUUCCCUGCUGCUUCCACCUUUUCACGUGUGUUCUACACAGCAGCCAGAGCAAGCUUUUAAAAACAGAAGUCGGAUUAUGUCACUCCUCUGUUCAAAACCUUCCACUGGCUUCUCAUUUCAUUCAGAAUAAAAUUUAGAUUACUUUCUGAGGUUACAAAACUUUACAUGAUGUGGCUCUUUCUUUGACCUCAUCUUAACUCACUGCUUUUAGCCACACUCCCUCCUUGCUGUUUCUCAAACACACUAACAGGCCGUAGGGCUUUGCAUUUGUGGUUUUCUCUACCGGAUACUCAGCGUGUCUCCUUUCUUUACUUCUUUAAGGUCUCUGUUUAUAUGUCACCUUCUCAGAGAGGCUGUCAAUGAUACACUACAUAAAAUAACAUUCUUGCUUACCAGUCUCUGGCUUGCUGUAUUUUAUUCCUUAGCACUUAUCACCACUUGACAGUUGUUUAUUUUCUAUCCCCUUCAGUUAGACUGCAUGCUCCAUGAGGGCAGUGACCUUGAGUAUUUUGUUUGCUGUUUAUCCCCAGUGCCUAGAACAGUGCCUGGUGCAGGGUGUAUGCCACCUAAGCCUCAGCAGAAUCACUGUCCAGUGACAUUCAUCACCUGGUCUUAGUGGUGGCUCUUCCCUAGAAGUGAGGUGAGGUCUGUGUCCCAUUGUUGUUGGGCUGGAGGCAGCUGGUUUUCUCCUAUUCGUUGAUGCUCAGCUGGACCGGUGUUGUGAUAUUUAAGGAAAGUUUCAUCCUAUCCCUUUUUGCCAACAGA